rnacentral:rRNA from 1 species
UAGCGGCAGGCUUAACACAUGCAAGUCGAGGGGCAUCGGGGAGGAAGCUUGCUUUCUCCGCCGGCGACCGGCGCACGGGUGAGUAACACGUAUGCAACCUGCCCCUGUCAGGGGGACAACCCGCCGAAAGGCGGGCUAAACCCGCGUACAUGCCACCGGGGCAUCCCGGAGGCAGGAAAGGCUUCGGCCGGACAGGGAUGGGCAUGCGGCGCAUUAGGCAGUAGGCGGGGUAACGGCCCACCUAACCGACGAUGCGUAGGGGUUCUGAGAGGAAGGUCCCCCACACUGGUACUGAGACACGGACCAGACUCCUACGGGAGGCAGCAGUGAGGAAUAUUGGUCAAUGGUCGGGAGACUGAACCAGCCAAGCCGCGUGAGGGAGGAAGGUACAGAGUAUCGUAAACCUCUUUUGUCAGGGAACAAAGGCGGGGACGUGUCCCCGGAUGAGUGUACCUGAAGAAAAAGCAUCGGCUAACUCCGUGCCAGCAGCCGCGGUAAUACGGAGGAUGCGAGCGUUAUCCGGAUUUAUUGGGUUUAAAGGGUGCGCAGGCGGUCUGUUAAGUCAGCGGUCAAAGCCCGGGGCUCAACCCCGGCCCGCCGUUGAAACUGGCAGUCUCGAGUUGGAGAGAAGUAUGCGGAAUGCGCGGUGUAGCGGUGAAAUGCAUAGAUAUCGCGCAGAACUCCGAUUGCGAAGGCAGCAUGCCGGCUCCACACUGACGCUGAGGCACGAAAGCGUGGGUAUCGAACAGGAUUAGAUACCCUGGUAGUCCACGCAGUAAACGAUGAAUGCUGGCUGUCCGGGGGGAUUGACCCCUGGGUGGCGAAACGAAAGAGAUAAACAUUCCACAUGGGGAGUACGCCGGCAACGGUGAAACUCAAAGGAAUUGACGGGGGCCCGCACAAGCGGAGGAACAUGUGGUUUAUUUUGAUGAUACGCGAGGAACCUUACCCGGGCUCAAACGGGGAGUGACUCAAGGCAGAGACGCCUGAUUCCCACGGGACACUCCCCGAGGUGCUGCAUGGUUGUAGUCAGCUCGAGCCGUGAGGUGUCGGAGUAAGUGCCAUAACGAGCGCAACCCCCGCGUGCAGUUGCUAACAGAUAACGCUGAGGACUCUGCACGGACUGCCGGCGCAAGCCGCGAGGAAGGCGGGGAUGACGUCAAAUCAGCACGGCCCUUACGUCCGGGGCGACACACGUGUUACAAUGGGUGGUACAGCGGGAAGCCAGGCGGCGACGCCGAGCGGAACCCGAAAUCCACUUUCAGUUCGGAUCGGAGUUUGCAACCCGACUCCGUGAAGCUGGAUUCGCUAGUAAUCGCGCAUCAGCCAUGGCGCGGUGAAUACGUU